AACGUAGGAGACGAACGUUAUCCGGAGUUACUGGGCGUAAAGGGCGUGCAGGCGGUCUGAUAAGUUCGGCGUGAAAUAUUCCGGCUUAACCGGGAUAGGUCGUCGGAGACUGUCGGACUAGAGGGUGAUAGAGGCGUGUGGAAUUCCGGGUGUAGUGGUGAAAUGCGUAGAGAUCCGGAGGAACACCAGUGGCGAAGGCGACACGCUGGGUCACACCUGACGCUAAAGCGCGACAGCAUGGGGAGCGAACAGG
rnacentral:rRNA from 1 species